UACGUAGGGUGCAAACGUUGCUCGGAAUCAUUGGGCGUAAAGCGCACGUAGGCGGUCUUGUAAGUCGGAUGUGAAAGCCCUCGGCUCAACCGAGGAAGUGCAUUCGAAACUGCAAGGCUUGAGUAUGGAAGAGGGUCUCGGAAUUCCCGGUGUAGAGGUGAAAUUCGUAGAUAUCGGGAGGAACACCAGUGGCGAAGGCGGAGACCUGGGCCAAUACUGACGCUGAGGUGCGAAAGCGUGGGGAGCAAACAGG
rnacentral:rRNA from 1 species